GAUGAACGCUGGCGGCGUGCCUAAUACAUGCAAGUCGAGCGAACAGAUGAGGAGUUUGCUCCUCUGACGUUAGCGGCGGACGGGAGAGUAACACGUGGAUAACCUCCCUUUAAGCCUGGGAUAAUUUCGGGAAACCGGAGCUAAUACCGGAUAAUAUAUUGAACCGUAUGGUUCAAUAGUGAAAGUGGGUUUUGCUGUCACUUAUAGAUGGAUCCGCGCCGCAUUAGCUAGUUGGUAAGGUAACGGCUUACCAAGGCAACGAUGCGUAGCCGGCCUGAGAGGGGUAGCGGCCACACUAGGACGGAGACACAGUCCAGACUCCUACGGGAGGCAACAGUAGGGAAUCUUGCACAAUGGGCGAAAACCUGACGGAGCGACGCCGCGUGAGGGAUGAAGGUCUUCUGAUCGUAAAACUCUUUUAUGAGGGAAGAACAAUUGGGUAAGUAACUAUGCUCGUCUUGACGGUACCUAAUCAGAAAGCCACGGCUAACUACGUG
rnacentral:rRNA from 1 species